rnacentral:rRNA from 1 species
UUAUGGGCGUAAAAGCGUCCGCAGCGGUUUUUAAGCGAGAUGUGAAGCCCCCGGGCUCAACUGGGAACUGCAUUUGAACUUGUCAAAACUAGAAGUGUGAUAGAGGGUGGUAGAAAUUUCAGGUGUAGCGGUGAAAAUGGCGUAGGAGAUCUGUAAGGGAAUACCGAUGGCGAAAGGCAGCCCACCUGGGUUCAACACUGACGCUCAUGUACGAAAGCGUGGGGAGCAAAACAGGAUUAGAUACCCUGGUAGUCCCACGCCCGUAAAACGAUGUCUACUAGAAAGCUCGAGUCUUUCGGAGUUGUUUUUUCAAAGCUAACGCAUUAAGUAGACCGCCCUGGGGAGUACGGCCGCAAGGUUAAAACUCAAAUGAAUUGACGGGGGCCCGCACAAGCGGUGGAGCAUGUGGUUUAAUUCGAUGCAACGCGAAGAACCUUACCUACACUUGACAUACAGAGAACUUACCAGAGAUGGUUUGGUGCCUUCGGGAACUCUGAUACAGGUGCUGCAUGGCUGUCGUCAGCUCGUGUUGUGAGAUGUUGGGUUAAGUCCCGCAACGAGCGCAACCCCUAUCCUUAGUUGCCAGCGAUUCGGUCGGGAACUCUAAGGAGACUGCCGGUGAUAAACCGGAGGAAGGUGGGGACGACGUCAAGUCAUCAUGGCCCUUACGUGUAGGGCUACACACGUGCUACAAUGGCGCAUACAGAGUGCUGCGAACCUGCGAGGGUAAGCGAAUCACUUAAAGUGCGUCGUAGUCCGGAUUGGAGUCUGCAACUCGACUCCAUGAAG